AACAGAUUCUUAAUGUUCUACUAAACUGGACUGUCAAAUCUUUACAAGAAAUACAAUGCACAGUAAUCUGCAGAGUAGUUUUUAAUGCAUUUGGCUAAAUGAAUAAUCAGAAAUUACUAAUUCAUCAUCAUUAGAAAGCUGUGAUUGAAUGUUUAAUUAAAAAGAGAUGCAUUUAAUAGAGGUCUUGACGUCUGCCACCAGGGUGCAACGGUAUGUUAUGAAACUGCAAGAGUUGGAAUCAGCUGAGGAAUCCAGAAAAAGCAGUUAGCACCAGUAAGUCUGUUUCACUUUGAAAGGAAUUGCUGCGAAAACAGGAAAGAAACAUUUACAGGACAUUCAAUCUUUCUCUCAGUUAAUAACAACUAAUAUAAGGUAAAUAAAAAUGUGUGUUUUGGAUUUUACCAAGUGUUCCAGAAAAAGGCAUUGCAGCUUUAAAUAUUCUCAGUCUUGCAGUAGGUGACUGACCUGACUUGAACUUACAAAAAAAAGUAAAAUAAAAUAAAAUAAAAAAUAAUCAAAGCUGUCAUCUAAAAACUGAAUACCAGGGGAGCAAUCUAAAUGUUCCUGCUCUGCAAUACCUGUAGAUUCCCACAUGUGGAAACUGCUGUCAAACUCCAUAUUCGAACCAUAAGCACCCACAGUCAAAAAGAAAUCAAAAAAAUAUUUUGGUGGAUUCUUGUGCUUGUAUGUAAACUCUUACUCUUAGUUUUCCUUAAAAAAUGGAAAGAAUUUCUUGUGGUUGUUGAGAAAAGGAAAAUGUUACAUAUUCAUUAACAUUGUACCAUGUUUCACUGAGGGAGCCUUCAGUCUGUUUAAAAAAAGAGAGAGAGCAAAUAUACUAUAGCAGUUUGUUGCAGCAUUUCAUUAUCACUGCUCUUAGUUUCAGUGUGUAGAUCUCGCUUUGUGUUUCUGCAUUGGUUAGUAUAUCCAGUAAAAAAAAGGAAGCAUUAACUUAACACUGGAGUGGCAUAUUUUUUUCUGCCUUACCAUUUUGCAUACAUAAGUAAAAAACCGA
ensembl:lncRNA